rnacentral:rRNA from 1 species
GAUGAACGCUGGCGGCGUGCCUAAUACAUGCAAGUCGAGCGAACAGACGAGGAGCUUGCUCCUCUGACGUUAGCGGCGGACGGGUGAGUAACACGUGGAUAACCUACCUAUAAGACUGGGAUAACUUCGGGAAACCGGAGCUAAUACCGGAUAAUAUAUUGAACCGCAUGGUUCAAUAGUGAAAGACGGUUUUGCUGUCACAUAUAGAUGGAUCCGCGCCGCAUUAGCUAGUUGGUAAGGUAACGGCUUACCAAGGCAACGAUGCGUAGCCGACCUGAGAGGGUGAUCGGCCGCACUGGAACUGAGACACGGUCCAGACUCCUACGGGAGGCAGCCGUAGGGAAUCUUCCGCAAUGGGCGAAAGCCUGACGGAGCAACGCCGCGUGAGUGAUGAAGGUCUUCGGAUCGUAGAACUCUGUUAUUAGGGAAGAACAAAUGUGUAAGUAACUAUGCACGUCUUGACGGUACCUAAUCAGAAAGCCACGGCUAACUACGUG